UGAUCAUCUGAACUGGCAGAUAAUUUUGACUGCUUCCUCCCCAUUUAUAAUGGAACCUUGGGCUGAGUUCUCAGGGGAUUUCUACUUUUCCUGUCUACUUCCCUGUGUUCUGCUUCCUGAGUUUCUGGAGCAGUCCUCUGGCAAUAUUUGUAAAUGUAUACCCAUCUUAAGAGAUAAGCAACACUUGCAUGCAUGUAUAGAGAAAGCCAC
rnacentral:lncRNA from 1 species